rnacentral:rRNA from 1 species
UACGUAGGGAGCAAGCGUUGUCCGGAAUCAUUGGGCGUAAAGCGCGCGUAGGUGGCUCCAUAAGUCCGUUGUGAAAGUCAAAGGCUCAACCUUUGAAAGCCGAUGGAUACUGUGGAGCUAGAGUACGGAAGAGGCGAGUGGAAUUCCUGGUGUAGCGGUGGAAUGCGCAGAUAUCGGGAGGAACACCUGUGGCGAAAGCGGCUCACUGGACCACAACUGACGCUGAGGCGCGAAAGCUAGGGGAGCAAACAGGAGUUAGA